AAAAAUUUAGUUAAAAAAUAACAUUAACUUGUCAAGUUAAAAUUAUUAUUAUUAUAUAUAAUUUUUA
rnacentral:tRNA from 1 species